rnacentral:rRNA from 1 species
GCGAACGGGUGAGUAACACGUGAGCAACCUGCCCUAGGCUUUGGGAUAACCCCGGGAAACCGGGGCUAAUACCGAAUAGGACCACCGGCCGCAUGGCUGGUGGUGGAAAGUUUUUCGGCCUGGGAUGGGCUCGCGGCCUAUCAGCUUGUUGGUGGGGUGAUGGCCUACCAAGGCGACGACGGGUAGCCGGCCUGAGAGGGCGACCGGCCACACUGGGACUGAGACACGGCCCAGACUCCUACGGGAGGCAGCAGUGGGGAAUAUUGCACAAUGGGCGGAAGCCUGAUGCAGCGACGCCGCGUGAGGGAUGACGGCCUUCGGGUUGUAAACCUCUUUCAGCAGGGACGAAGCGUAAGUGACGGUACCUGCAGAAGAAGCGCCGGCCAACUACGUGCCAGCAGCCGCGGUAAGACGUAGGGCGCGAGCGUUGUCCGGAUUUAUUGGGCGUAAAGAGCUCGUAGGCGGCUUGUCGCGUCGACUGUGAAAACCCGCAGCUCAACUGCGGGCCUGCAGUCGAUACGGGCAGGCUAGAGUUCGGUAGGGGAGACUGGAAUUCCUGGUGUAGCGGUGAAAUGCGCAGAUAUCAGGAGGAACACCGGUGGCGAAGGCGGGUCUCUGGGCCGAUACUGACGCUGAGGAGCGAAAGCGUGGGGAGCGAACAGGAUUAGAUACCCUGGUAG